CAGAGAAGGAAGUCACGUCCAUAAAGCAGAUCCUAGCACUCUUCUCAGCUCAACUCCAAACAAUCUGUUAUGGGAAGCAACAGCAAAUAUCUGCCCAUUUCCUGUGUCCGGGACCGUGGGACAGGCAAAGGAAAGCUUCCCAAAAUCACCCAGCUGAUGCAAAUUUGAGUGGGAUUUUAAAAGAAGAGCGGAAGCUCCAUUCAUCAUCCCUACUCUCUUCAAACAGGAGUUAAAGGUUUUCUUCCAAAUCUGAAAGUGAACACGCCACUUCUGGAGAUCUAGAUAAAAGGAUUUGUUUCCACAACUGCCUUGUGCUGAAUGAAAACCAAAAUCAGAGAAGAG
rnacentral:lncRNA from 1 species